GGAGAGAUGCCAGAGAGGUCGAAUGGACCGCACUCGAAAUGCGGCGUACGGGCGACUGUACCCUGGGUUCGAAUCCCAGUCUCUCCG
rnacentral:tRNA from 1 species